CACGUAGGGGGCGAGCGUUGUCCGGAUUUAUUGGGCGUAAAGAGCUCGUAGGCGGCUCAGUAAGUCGGGUGUGAAAACUCCAGGCUCAACCUGGAGCGGCCACUCGAUACUGCCAUGGCUAGAGUCCGGUAGGGGACCACGGAAUUCCUGGUGUAGCGGUGAAAUGCGCAGAUAUCAGGAGGAACACCGGUGGCGAAGGCGGUGGUCUGGGCCGGAACUGACGCUGAGGAGCGAAAGCGUGGGGAGCGAACAGG
rnacentral:rRNA from 1 species